ACAUAAUUUUAAUAAAGUCUACCUUAUGCUAAUGACCACAGUCAAACACGUCUGCGACGUUACAUGACGCAGGUGCUCGCUUAACACGCUAAUGCCCUCGUGCGUCCGUCAGAGCUUUGACUAGGGGGGUUUUACAUUCAAAGGACUUUCUACUAUUUUUGACAAUAAACAGUAAUGUGACCGCAUUCAGCUCAACAUUUUGGAAAACGCGGAGGAGCGCAGUGGCACAAAAAUGACCAGUGGACUGUUAUAUUCACGUUAUGCAUUAAAAUGAACGAGCAGAGAAGUUUGAGGAAGCGCAGACUAAAUCGGGGACUUCUCGUGGACACAGCUCACGGAGUGACUCAUACAGUGCAAAUGGAGGACUUCGCGUGGACAGCUCACUGACUCAUACAGAGUUCAUUGAUGCCUGAGACAGUCCAGUGGUUAAGGACAUCGACCGCCAACAUAGAAAGGAGAAUCAUUCACCUGCUGGUGGCGAACAAGGAUCAGUUCACACAGAAGAAAUAUGUUGUCAAGCAGCUGUCGGAG